rnacentral:rRNA from 1 species
UACGUAGGGUGCGAGCGUUAAUCGGAAUUACUGGGCGUAAAGCGUGCGCAGGCGGUUUUGUAAGUCAGAUGUGAAAUCCCCGGGCUUAACCUGGGAACUGCGUUUGAAACUACAAGGCUAGAGUGUAGCAGAGGGGGGUGGAAUUCCACGUGUAGCAGUGAAAUGCGUAGAGAUGUGGAGGAACACCGAUGGCGAAGGCAAUCCCCUGGACCUGUACUGACGCUCAUGCACGAAAGCGUGGGGAGCAAACAGG